rnacentral:rRNA from 1 species
GACGAAGGGGGCUAGCGUUGCUCGGAAUCACUGGGCGUAAAGCGCACGUAGGCGGAUUGCUAAGUCAGGGGUGAAAUCCUGGAGCUCAACUCCAGAACUGCCUUUGAUACUGAAGAUCUUGAGUUCGGGAGAGGUGAGUGGAACUGCGAGUGUAGAGGUGAAAUUCGUAGAUAUUCGCAAGAACACCAGUGGCGAAGGCGGCUCACUGGCCCGAUACUGACGCUGAGGCACGAAAGCGUGGGGAGCAAACAGG